UGCUUCGGUUUUCGGGUUCUCUCAGGGC
rnacentral:sRNA from 1 species